CCUACGGGAGGCAGCUGUGGGGAAUUUUGGACAAUGGACGCAAGUCUGAUCCAGCCAUUCCGCGUGCAGGAUCAAGGCCCUCGGGUUGUAAACUGCUAUUGUACGGAACGAAAAGGUUUCUAUUAAUACUAGGAGCUCAUGACGGUACCGUAAGAAUAAGCACCGGCUAACUACGUGCCAGCAGCCGCGGAAAUACGUAGGGUGCAAGCGUUAAUGGGAAUUACUGGGCGUAAAGCGUGCGCAGGCGGUUAUGUAAGACAGAGGUGAAAUGCCCGGGCUCAACCUGGGAACUGCCUUUGUGACUGCAUAGCUAGAGUACGGUAGAGGGGGAUGGAAUUCCGCGUGUAGCAGUGAAAUGCGUAGAUAUGCGGAGGAACACGGAUGGCGAAGGCAAUCCCCUGGACCUGUACUGACGCUCAUGCACCAAAGCGUGGGGAGCAAACAGGAUUAGAUACCCUGGUAGUCCACGCCCUAAACGAUGUCAACUGGUUGUUGGGUCUUCACUGACUCAGUAACGAAGCUAACGCGUGAAG
rnacentral:rRNA from 1 species